UCCGGAGGGGGUUAUCGUUGUUCGGAAUUACUGGGCGUAAAGCGCACGUAGGCGGGCUGUUAAGUCGGGGGUGAAAUCCCGGGGCUCAACCCCGGAACUGCCUUCGAUACUGGCAGCCUUGAGUUCGAGAGAGGUGAGUGGAAUUCCGAGUGUAGAGGUGAAAUUCGUAGAUAUUCGGAGGAACACCAGUGGCGAAGGCGGCUCACUGGCUCGAUACUGACGCUGAGGUGCGAAAGCGUGGGGAGAAAACAGG
rnacentral:rRNA from 1 species